GACGAACGCUGGCGGCGUGCUUAACACAUGCAAGUCGAGCGAUGAAGUUCCUUCGGGAAUGGAUUAGCGGCGGACGGGUGAGUAACACGUGGGUAACCUGCCUAAUAGAGGGGAAUAGCCUUCCGAAAGGAAGAUUAAUACCGCAUAAGAUUGUAGUACCGCAUGGCAUAGCAAUUAAAGGAGCAAUCCGCUAUGAGAUGGACCCGCGUCGCAUUAGCUAGUUGGUGAGGUAACGGCUACCCAAGGCGACGAUGCGUAGCCUACCUGAGAGGGUGAUCGGCCACAUUGGGACUGAGACACGGCCCAGACUCCUACGGGAGGCAGCAGUGGGGAAUAUUGCACAAUGGGGGAAACCCUGAUGCAGCAACGCCGCGUGAGUGAUGACGGUCUUCGGAUUGUAAAACUCUGUCUUCAGGGACGAUAAUGACGGUACCUGAGGAGGAAGCCACGGCUAACUACGUGCCAGCCGCCGCGGUAA
rnacentral:rRNA from 1 species